GAUGAACGCUGACAGAAUGCUUAACACAUGCAAGUCUACUUGAACUUCGGUUUGGGUGGCGGACGGGUGAGUAACGCGUAAAGAACUUGCCUCACAGUUAGGGACAACAUUUGGAAACGAAUGCUAAUACCUGAUAUUAUGAUUUUAGGGCAUCCUAAGAUUAUGAAAGCUAUAUGCGCUGUGAGAGAGCUUUGCGUCCCAUUAGCUAGUUGGAGAGGUAACGGCUCACCAAGGCGAUGAUGGGUAGCCGGCCUGAGAGGGUGAACGGCCACAAGGGGACUGAGACACGGCCCUUACUCCUACGGGAGGCAGCAGUGGGGAAUAUUGGACAAUGGACCAAAAGUCUGAUCCAGCAAUUCUGUGUGCACGAUGACGUUUUUCGGAAUGUAAAGUGCUUUCAGUUGGGAAGAAAAAAAUGACGGUACCAACAGAAGAAGUGACGGCUAAAUACGUGCCAGCAGCCGCGGUAAUACGUAUGUCACAAGCGUUAUCCGGAUUUAUUGGGCGUAAAGCGCGUCUAGGUGGUUAUGUAAGUCUGAUGUGAAAAUGCAGGGCUCAACUCUGUAUUGCGUUGGAAACUGCAUGACUAGAGUACCGGAGAGGUAAGCGGAACUACAAGUGUAGAGGUGAAAUUCGUAGAUAUUUGUAGGAAUGCCGAUGGGGAAGCCAGCUUACUGGACAGAUACUGACGCUAAAGCGCGAAAGCGUGGGUAGCAAACAGG
rnacentral:rRNA from 1 species